AUUCCCUUAAAUUUUCAGCUUUUGGUAAUGCAAUUACCCUCAAGAAGCUCAUCAGGAAGGGGAUUCCACCGGUUUUACGGCCUAAGGAAGGUUUGUCACCCUUGAACUUUUAUAUUGAGGAUGAAUUCCAUUGUGCCACUGGUGGUGGAGCUGGAGGUGUCAAAUCCAUUACCAAUUGUGCCCCGGAAUGUUAUUGGGGCUUUUGGAUUUGAAAACAGUUUGUUACUCAUCAAGUGGAGUUCUUACCAGCUGCAGAAAAAGUAGCUCAUUUCAAAUGAGUCUUUGAUUUGUGUUAUUUUUCCCUUUGAUUCAAGCAGACCAACUUGAUGCUAAUUUUUC